AUCCAUCAUCUUCUCGCUACAUGUGUCUUCUCUUGCGAGGUGUGGCUCCGCACUCUGGCUUGGUGCAAACUCACCGUCCACCCACCGGACGACAACCUUACCCUCUGCGAUUGGUGGCGAGACGCUUCAACCUCUGUUCCCUCCUCGCUUCGCAAAGCAUUGGCGCUGAUCGUACCUCUGGUCACUUGGGCCAUUUGGAAACACCGCAAUGCCUACAUCUUCGACCACCGGCAACCCUCGAUUGGUUGCUUAUUCUCCUCCAUCCAGGAUGACGAGCGCGCUUGGACCAACGCCGGCGCCAAAGGGCUACAAGCUGUAAUUGACGCGCUAUAA
rnacentral:rRNA from 1 species